AUUUGCUUUCCGUAAAUCACGGAAGAGACGUGUCGUGGCACGUGGAGUGUACCGACAGUUUGUUGUUAUUCUAUCGCUUAUGAUAGAAUAAAUAAAAGAAGUUGCAUGGAUAGUAACGAGAGCAGCUGGUGCUCUAGUGGUUGAAGAGCAAGGCUCUUGUACAAGAGGUCAGAGGUUCGAACCUUGCCUCUCGUUUAUUUUUAUUAUGUUCGCUUAUGACAUAAUAAGUAUAACAUUUGUACACAUUAUAUUAAGCACAGCUUGUGCUCCAGUGGUUGGGGACAAAGGUUUCGUGCAGCAGGUUGAGGUUUCGAGCCUUGCCUUCCCCGUUAUUUUAUUUAUGUCGCUUAUGACAUAAUAAAUAUAACACGUGAGCAUAUAUUAAUGAAGGCAGCUCUUGCUUCAGUGGUUGGGAGCAAAACCUUCGUGUUCGAGGUCGGGAGUUCGAACCUUACCUCUUACAAAUAUUUUUGGAUCUCGUAUAUGCUUGAUAUACGGACGUAUAUACGGUAUGUACGGUAUACAUACGUAUAUACGGUCUGUACGGUAUGUAUACUUAUAUACAGUUGUACAGUAUGCAUACGUAUAUACGGUCUGUACGGUAUGCAUACGUAUAUACGGUCUGUACGGUAUGCAUACGUAUAUACGGUCUGUACGGUAUGCAUACGUAUAUACGGUAUGUACAAUUUCAUACCGUAGCCGAGCUGGAAGUUGGUAGGCCCAAAUAGUAAGCCCAAUUGUUCGGCCCGAUUGGUAGGCCCAAUUGUUCGGCCCAAAUGGUAGGCCCAAAUGUUAAACCCAAAUUGGUUCGAGCCGGUUCUAAAUGUGGAUGGUUCGGUUUCUUCGGCCCAAUUGGCCAGCCCUAAUGCUUAGCCCAAGGAUUGAGCAAGCCCAAGUCAUCAUCACUGGGUGACAUGUUUUAUUGGCGUGCUUUUGAGAAUGAUUUGUUUUGAGUGAUGCUAAUUGAGAAGCGAAACGCUUUGUGGGAGUGUUUACUGUGCUUGUAUGCCAGUACAGGAUGACGAUCUGUGUGAAAACAGCUAUAUGUGCAAUGCCACGUGGUGAUUUGAGUGUGGGUUGCUUGAGGCAAUUGUUGUGUUGUAAUUUUGAGAAAUGAUGCGGUGAAGGAAUGUCAUGUUGAUGACUUAAGUGGGGAUGAGGAUUUCAUUUGUGAAUUCUCGUUGUGUGAGUUUACGUUUGUGAUGAAAGGAUUUAGUGGCCAUAGGAAUGUAUUUUUAUACAAAGGGCUGUGGUUUUGUAGAUUACUACAGUUUUGGGAAAGAUGGAGAUUCGAUGGUUAGGUUAACUGUAAUCGAGAGCAAUUAACUUGCGCUUAAAUUUCGGGACGAAAUUUCUUUAAGGAGGGUAGAUUGUAAUAACCUAGUUUUUUUUAAUCAAACAAUUUGGUGGCAAACACCGGUUCCGUGAUUUAAGGUUAGUGGACAAUUGCAUAAUUUGAAGGCCGGUGCUUUAACAUGAUUAUGCAUGAGUGGAAGAACGAAUCAAUUAAGCUAAGAAACGAAUUCUCUCUCUCUCACGUCCGAAACCACCCAAAACAGAGCAAAACUUCUCCAAACUCUCUCUCACUCCACCGGCCACCAAUCAAGACCAGAACACUUCCUAUAGCUUCGCCUCGACCUUGCGCAGCUGCAGGUGGCAGCCUUGAACCACGACACGGCCACCAGCGGCGGCGGGAAGCUCCGCCCGGUUUGAGCUCGUUUUGGUUCCAAGCUUGAUAUCUCAAGCUACCGGCCAACAAUCCUCACCAAACUUCACCCACGAGCUCGCCUCAACGUCCUGAAGCUCCCAGAAGUGGCCUUGCACGGCGGCGCUACUCGUGGUGGCGGCUGGAAGCCAGACCCGAUCAAAUCGAAAACCGAAGCUUCGAUCGGUAUAUCUCGAGCUGUAGUGCAUCGUUUUGAUUGAUUCUUUUUCCAGUGGGUUCCCCUUGAUGUUGAUAACAACUCUCUAGAAGGCAUCGAGGCCUGAAAUUGAAGUUUUUACGUCGAUCGGAGCCCUCGCCGGAUUCUGCAAAAUUCUGCAAAUUUUCCGACCACCGAAGCUUUCGAUCGGUAUAUCUCGAGCUACAGACCAUAUUUUUCUGUGAUUCUUGAACCAAUGCGUUCGUCUUGAGUUUCUUAACAACUCUCUAGAAGGAAUCGAAGCCUGAAAUUGAAGUUUUGACGUCGAAAUCAAGCCUUGCCGGAUUCUGCAAAUUUCGCCGGAUUCUGGAAAUUUUCCGGCCACCUCGACUGUUCUAGGUUAUCGACGGAUUGAUUUGGUGGACGAUUCGGAUUGAUGUAUUUGGCUUUUUAGAAGACGCAGCUGGAUUAGAGCGGGAAAUCCUACAGGUCAGGAAGAUCAAGGCGGAGAUCGUGCGGGUUAGAGUUUUUGUUUCAGUUUACAGCUUUGUAAAUUGUGAGAUGUAUUAUUAAGAGGUGUGAAGUGUGGUUGUUGUGAGAAAAAAAUUCAGGACGUUUAUUCUAUUAAGUUGUAUAAUUCAUGUUUCGGAUUUUAAUUGUAUUUAAAAUUCGGGGC